GAGGCGAAGCGGAGAUCGGGCGCGCGCGCCCUUCCCGCCGCUCGGGCAGUUCCCUGAGGCGAGAGGCACCGCCCGGCGCUGGAACCGCACCCGGGGGCCCGUCCGCCCCGGAGCCGGGCAGAGCCCCUGCGGAGGCCUGGACUGGCGUUCCCUUGUCGGGGCACCCGAGCGGGCCUGCCAGAGCGGGGGAGGGCCUGUAGCGCCGGGCCGUGGAGGGGCUGGAGGUUUGACAGGUCACCGGGCCCAGGCGGAGGAGCCGGAAUUUCCAUGGAAACCGCUGAAAGAAGGUGAAGCGAGCCACGUGUUAAGCAAUAAAUGCUGCUCUCUGCAAUGGGUUCGUUUUGAGUGACGCUGGAUCCGGUAUCUGCUGCGUUUUAAAUUGAAAACGUGGAGGAAGGGCUGUAUUUUCAGUAGUGAGUAAAGAGCAUCCAGCACAGCCGGCCUGGGCCGUCUUCUUCACAGGGACAUCGUGGUGACAGAUCAUAAUAAAUAAUAGUCAGAAAUACAUUCCAAGGAGAUAAGUUCCUGAGCCUGUCAACUCAAGUCUGGUUUUAAUUAUGUUCACUACAUACCUAUUUGCAGCCCGUUACACACCUUGUGUUUACUUCAGUAACUGAUCAAGUAACAGAAAAUCGUUGCAUCUUUAUCCUGAUUUAGAAUAUAGCUGUUACUCUAGUCAUGCUGAAUUUUGUAGAAGGAGGGAUUUUUAUUCAUUUUUUCCAUCUGGCAAGAUAAAAGCUAGCACUUCUUCAGAAGUAGUAUGUAUUUUCACUGCCUUUGCUUUCUAAGCCUAAGUAGAAAAUCACUUCAUAAAAGAUUGUCUUUAAAGAAAUAUUACAAAACUGUACGAAAUCUGUUUCUGUAGAAAUUUGGUUUCAAAUGAGUCUUUACUUUGUGUAUGGCCCACAGAAUCAGUAGAUCUGAAAUGCCUCCUUCACUUUCCUUUGCUGAUGGAGUUUCGAUUUUACAAGUUCAUUUCAGCUCUAGUCUGUAUAACUGAACUCAGAAUCAGGAAAGAAACUCAUGUCACUGUUAACACAAAAUGCCAUUAUUAUUUCCCUACAGCAAUAGGAUUAUGUCUUUAUUGCAUCUAUUCAUCCUCAUUAACCAAUCAUUAGUCCUAUCAUCUAUCAUCUGUCUUCUGAGAUAUCUGUUUGGAGACCUACAGCAUUCCUACAAGCCUGCCACCCCCACUCCACUUUAUUAUCCUAAUUUCCUUUAAACCAGCCAUGUUUCGCUUCUAAGGCCGAUACUUGUUAUUCUGUUCUGUGUAUCAUCAACACAUAGAAUCAAAAGCUUUUUCUUUCCCUUAACAAUAUCCUCUGCCUUUUUUCUUUAUCUCCUCACUGUGGAGCAUAACUGUGUUUAUACACAGGUAGGUGAGUACCCGCCUUCCAAGCCCUGAAGCUUCAAAGUUGAGCAAUUAGAAAUUUUCCCUUUUUUAAGUAAAUAUGACCAGCAUUUUUUGCUUCAUUCUGUGACACCCCACCCAAUUAAAUCAGUUUUUCCUGCUGCUAGGACCUUUGUUGGCAUUUUUUUAUGCCAGUGAAUGUUGUGUUUCUUCUUGGUAUUUACGAGAAACCACUGGGACAUCUCAGUGUAUCAUCUUUGGGGAAAGGACGUUCCCUCACACCUGACAUGGGGAAACCGUGCCUUGCAGGUGGAAGGGCAAUCCUCUUCAUGGAGCUUUCCAGAUGAGGAGAAUCAGCCCGCCUCUGGGAAUCUCAGCCAAAUACACAGCAUGUGACCAAUGAUUUCGUACAGCACUCCACCAGGAAACAAGGAACUUCCAUCGUCUACAUGCAGGAUGCACUCCUUUCGUCAAGCUUUUUGCUGCGUGCGCGUUCAGAUUUUGAAGCAGAUGAAAAUGUCCAAUCAAUUCCCUACUGCCAAGAAGAAAUCACAACUGAUAGAUACUGACGCAGUGUGGAGAAAUGCAGUCUGGGCAGGACAGAAGAGGCCUUGACAAGUGGAGGCUCAGGAGGCAGCGGAGGAGUACAGGCAUGGGCCCGGAGGGAUGGGGCACAUCCCUGGUGCUGGAGACCCCACAGCUACAACCGAGUCACCGUCAGUUAAAGACUUGCAGACCUCAUGCUGGACAAAAAGAGUUUUCAUGGGUAACAAAGAGAACUAAAACCAAGUACUUACCACAUGGAAAAUACCAUAUAUAUUGAAUUUAGAUGUAACACGGAACUGCAAACCCAUGAAGAAAGAGCAAGGUGUAAAAGUGUGUUAAACAUAUAAACAUAAAACAUAAACAUGUAAAAAUCACCCCAAAUGAAUUCUAGAGUGAGGGAGAAGAAAACAUCAACACCAUAUUCCUCCUGGCCCAGGACUCUGGAUGCAAUGAUGCCCUAACAGCUCCUGACACACACAGACAUCAGCAUGAAACCACUGACCUUCAGACCCAGGGGAGCAGUGGAAGUAUGAGCGUUACACAGCUAUGCCAUAUUCUAGCUGUAUGAUGCCAGUAACCAUGGGGAAUGAAGCAAGGUGCGAAGCAUGAAGCAGACCUCAUUCUGCUCCCGCAUUGCAGAGCAGCCAUGAGAGCCGCCAGGCACUCGGAGUUCUCACAUUUGGAAAACCCGCAGUAGAGGCUCCCAUGCCAACCCCCCCCAGGUCUCUGUGAGGAGAACAUGACUGCCAAGAAGCAAGGAGCUUUGACUAGGACAUUGUUAUUUUUUGGCAGCUGCUGAAAUGUUCUUUUCAAUUCUGGAUGUCUGGCCAGGAACUAAACCAGCUCUGACGGUGCGCUGAUUCUUUACAGAGCUUCACUUUCCACACAGCUGUCCGGAGAACAGCCCAGAUACCGGAUCCAUCACCUUGUGAUGAUUUCGUAUGUAGCAUUUUCUGGUUUUGCACUCUGUGACACAGAUUGUUGUUGUAAUUCCCUUCAACAUGUACUUUUUUUUUUCUUUGCACAUUGAGUAGAAUCCUAAAUCAUGCUGACAUGGGAGACAAAUGAGAAUAAUUCUAAUUAUCUCUGGGGUUUCAAAGUGGAAAAUUAAAUUGCAGUGGUAAAUAUUUGACUUCAGCACUUGCCUUUGGACCCUUUCACCCACUCUGUUUUAAAGAUUAACCUAUGCUUCAUAUUUUCACUUCUCUCAUUUGAUGAUGUACUCGAUAUCUUUAACUCAGAGAGAAUCUUUGGCAAACGUAAACGGAACUCUUUGCUGGCUUAAUUAGUUCAGCAUAUUAGCCUGUAAUUCCAUCAAUUAAUUCUAGUUCCAUCGUUAUUCUUGUUAAAAAUCUUUCUUCUUGGAUUUCACUGAAAAUGGAUUUGGAAACAAAUUACUAUCCCUUUUACAUUGUGUCUCAAUUGAAUAACAACUUAAAUUCCCUGCCUCUUUCAUUCAAGGAUCUGAAAAUUUCUUCCAAAUGUUGAUGCAGAAAACUUCAAAUCCCUCACUGAUGAGGGGAUUACUGUUAUCUUCAGAUAAAGAAACUGAGGCAUAGUCAGGCUAAAUACUAGGAUUAUUUUGUUAGAUUGAUGUCAUCCAAAAAAUGGACAAAUACUUAGUCCAAACCAAAAUAAGCGUGAGUUAGAGCUGUAAUGGAAUUUAAAAACUAGUCACAUACAAUUGAAUAAAUCUGUGUGAAAUUACUAAUUUCCACAUCAUAAAAUUAAUUUAACCAGAAAUAAUUUCAGGUUGCCAUAUACUUGUAGGCAUGAGACAAAUCUUGUGAAUGCCUUGCAUAUACAACUAUCAAGGCAGCAAUAUACCUUAAAACUAUAUUGAAACAGUAUUUGAAAAAUGAAGUAUUCUAAAACCCAUUCAGACCUGUCAAUGCUCAGCUCCCUGCUCAAGCUCAAUUUGAGCCCUAGCACAUUCUUGAUGAUGCAGUUAUUAAUUACAGGACAAGAAACUGUUUUUGUUCUCAGGACGCUUAUGUCAUUCAGUUCACAGAACAGUCACUACCAAAGGAAUUAAAAAACCCCCAAACCUCUUUUUACUAUUCUUUAGUUCCCUGUAGGAUCCUUCUUGUCUCUUAUCCAGGGGAUGCACUGAAGAUAAAAUGUCAUUCAUUUUGGCAUCCUUUCAGUUUGUCCCCACAGUGCUCUCCCGUGCUCUCUCUCUCUCUCUCCCCCAUUGCCCGUCCCACAACUUAUCAGAUAGGGAAACACUAUCCAUUCCUGUCACAGAUGUGGAAUGGCGAAAUAUUUCAGUUAAUAUGUGAAAAGAAUUGGUAAACAUAUCAGCGGUUCAAAGCUGUCAGGGUGGUAAGUAGCCCUUCAGCGGUGCUGUACGGGGCAGACCUUCGCCUAGCAGGAGGGCCCUCCCUUACACUUCAGACUGUGAAAUCAAAGAAGGUGCCUUUCCCCUCUUCCUUUUUAAUUUUGGAGACAGUGACACAGACAAGUAUUCUAUAGAAACUUAAUUGAGCAUGGUGCUGACACAAAUUUAUUCUAGUCUCACAUAUUGAAAGCUUUAGUUUGCAUUCAAUGGCAAGGAAAAGCCCACCCAAACUCCUAUAAUACAUAAAACAAGAAGCAAUUUACUUUGCAAUUAGCUUUAUGCUUUUUUUUUUUCUGUGCUAUUACAGGAGACGUUUAGGUAUGAGCUUUCUUCCUUACAAGCAGAUUUUAACUAAAGAGUUUAAUUAUAUGUUAAAAGAAAAAUGUUUUCUCCAGUGUUUUCUUCUGAAGCCUGCAUUGAAUACUUAAUCCUGUGUUUAUGAGAAUAAAAUCUGCUGCUAUGGAUACAGUGAGGUCAACAUUUCAACAUUAUUAUUUUACUGUGCUGUGUUAAAGGAGAUGGCAGGAUAAUAUUUUUGUUUCAAUAAAAAUACCUUAGAAAGUAUAAU